AGUGGCAGACGGGUGAGUAACACGUGGAAACGUACCUUUCACUACGGAAUAGCUCUUGGAAACGAGUGGUAAUACCGUAUACGCCCUUCGGGGGAAAGAUUUAUCGGUGAAAGAUCGGUCCGCGUUAGAUUAGCUAGUUGGUGAGGUAAGAGCUCACCAAGGCGACGAUCUAUAGCUGGUCUGAGAGGAUGAUCAGCCACACUGGGACUGAGACACGGCCCAGACUCCUACGGGAGGCAGCAGUGGGGAAUAUUGCACAAUGGGCGCAAGCCUGAUGCAGCCAUGCCGCGUGAAUGAUGAAGGCCUUAGGGUUGUAAAAUUCUUUCGCUAGGGAUGAUAAUGACAGUACCUAGUAAAGAAGCCCCGGCUAACUUCGUGCCAGCAGCCGCGGUAAUACGAAGGGGGCUAGCGUUGUUCGGAAUUACUGGGCGUAAAGCGCACGUAGGCGGGUUAUUAAGUCAGAUGUGAAAUCCCAAGGCUCAACCUUGGAACUGCAUUUGAAACUGAUAGCCUAGAGAUCAGGAGAGGUUAGCGGAAUACCGAGUGUAGAGGUGAAAUUCGUAGAUAUUCGGUGGAACACCAGUGGCGAAGGCGGCUAACUGGACUGAUACUGACGCUGAGGUGCGAAAGUGUGGGGAGCAAACAGGAUUAGAUACCCUGGUAGUCCACACCGUAAACGAUGAGAGCUAGUUGUCUGCAGGCAUGCCUGUAGGUGACGCAGCUAACGCAUUAAGCACUCCGCCUGGGGAGUACGGCCGCAAGGUUAAAACUCAAAGAAAUUGACGGGGGCCCGCACAAGCGGUGGAGCAUGUGAUUUAAUUCGAAGCAACGCGCAGAACCUUACCUACCCUUGACAUGCCCGGCUAUAUCCAGAGAUGGAUAGUUCCUUCGGGACCGGUGCACAGGUGCUGCAUGGCUGUCGUCAGCUCGUGUCGUGAGAAUGUUGGGUUAAGUCCCGCAACGAGCGCAACCCUUAUCCUUAGUUGCCAU
rnacentral:rRNA from 1 species